CAGUCGCCACGGGAAUACAGAGGGUGCGAGCGUUAAUCGGAUUUACUGGGCGUAAAGCGUGCGUAGGCGGCUUUUUAAGUCGGAUGUGAAAUCCCUGAGCUUAACUUAGGAAUUGCAUUCGAUACUGGGAAGCUAGAGUAUGGGAGAGGAUGGUAGAAUUCCAGGUGUAGCGGUGAAAUGCGUAGAGAUCUGGAGGAAUACCGAUGGCGAAGGCAGCCAUCUGGCCUAAUACUGACGCUGAGGUACGAAAGCAUGGGGAGCAAACAGGAUUAGAUACCCCGGUAGUCCCUGUCUCUUAUAA
rnacentral:rRNA from 1 species